GUUACGCUAAUACCGCAUAUUCUGUGAGCAGGAAAGCAGGGGAUCGCAAGACCUUGCGCUGAUUGAGCGGCCGAUAUCAGAUUAGCUAGUUGGUGAGGUAAAGGCUCACCAAGGCGACGAUCUGUAGCGGGUCUGAGAGGAUGAUCCGCCACACUGGAACUGAGACACGGUCCAGACUCCUACGGGAGGCAGCAGUGGGGAAUUUUGGACAAUGGGCGCAAGCCUGAUCCAGCCAUGCCGCGUGAGUGAAGAAGGCCUUCGGGUUGUAAAGCUCUUUCAGCCGGGAAGAAAACGCAUGGGUUAAUACCCUGUGUGGAUGACGGUACCGGAAUAAGAAGCACCGGCUAACUACGUG
rnacentral:rRNA from 1 species